rnacentral:rRNA from 1 species
AUGCCUACGGGAGGCAGCAGUUAGGAAUCUUCCGCAAUGGACGGAAGUCUGACGGAGCGACGCCGCUUGGAGGAGGAAGCCCUUCGGGGUGUAAACUCCUGAACUGGGGACGAAAGCCCUGUGUAGGGGGAUGACGGUACCCAGGUAAUAGCGCCGGCCAACUCCGUGCCAGCAGCCGCGGUCAUACGGAGGGCGCGAGCGUUACCCGGAUUUACGGGGCGUAAAGGGCGUGGAGGCGGCCGGGGGCGUCCCAUGUGAAAGGCCAGGGCUCAACCGUGGAGGAGCGUGGGAUACGCUCAGGCUAGAGGGUGGGAGAGGGUGGUGGAAUUCCCGGAGUAGCGGUGAAAUGCGCAGAUACCGGGAGGAACGCCGAUGGCGAAGGCAGCCACCUGGUCCACUUCUGACGCUGAGGCGCGAAAGCGUGGGGAGCAAACCGGAUUAGAUACCCCAGUAGUCCU